AUUGAACGCUGGCGGCAGGCUUAACACAUGCAAGUCGAGCGGUAACAUUUCAAGCUUGCUUGAAGAUGACGAGCGGCGGACGGGUGAGUAAUGCUUGGGAAUAUGCCUUAUGGUGGGGGACAACAGUUGGAAACGACUGCUAAUACCGCAUAAUGUCUACGGACCAAAGGGGGGGAUCUUCGGACCUCUCGCCAUUUGAUUAGCCCAAGUGAGAUUAGCUAGUUGGUGAGGUAAUGGCUCACCAAGGCGACGAUCUCUAGCUGGUUUGAGAGGAUGAUCAGCCACACUGGGACUGAGACACGGCCCAGACUCCUACGGGAGGCAGCAGUGGGGAAUAUUGCACAAUGGGCGCAAGCCUGAUGCAGCCAUGCCGCGUGUGUGAAGAAGGCCUUCGGGUUGUAAAGCACUUUCAGUAAGGAGGAAAGGGAUGUAGUUAAUAACUGCAUUCUGUGACGUUACUUACAGAAGAAGCACCGGCUAACUUCGUGCCAGCAGCCGCGGUAAUACGAGGGGUGCAAGCGUUAAUCGGAAUUACUGGGCGUAAAGCGUUCGUAGGCGGUUGAUUAAGCAAGAUGUGAAAGCCCAGGGCUCAACCUUGGAACUGCAUUUUGAACUGGUCAACUAGAGUACUGUAGAGGGUGGUGGAAUUUCCAGUGUAGCGGUGAAAUGCGUAGAGAUUGGAAGGAACAUCAGUGGCGAAGGCGGCCACCUGGACAGAUACUGACGCUGAGGAACGAAAGCGUGGGGAGGCGAACAGGAUUAGAUACCCUGGUAGUCCACGCCGUAACGAUUGUCAACUAGCCGUUGGUGUCCUAGAAACGUGAGUGGGCCAGCUACG
rnacentral:rRNA from 1 species